AGUGAACGCUGGCGGUAGGCCUAACACAUGCAAGUCGAACGGCAGCACAGUAAGAGCUUGCUCUUACGGGUGGCGAGUGGCGGACGGGUGAGGAAUACAUCGGAAUCUACUUUUUCGUGGGGGAUAACGUAGGGAAACUUACGCUAAUACCGCAUACGACCUACGGGUGAAAGCAGGGGAUCUUCGGCCCUUGCGCGAUUGAAUGAGCCGAUGUCGGAUUAGCUAGUUGGCGGGGUAAAGGCCCACCAAGGCGACGAUCCGUAGCUGGUCUGAGAGGAUGAUCAGCCACACUGGAACUGAGACACGGUCCAGACUCCUACGGGAGGCAGCAGUGGGGAAUAUUGGACAAUGGGCGAAAGCCUGAUCCAGCCAUACCGCGUGGGUGAAGAAGGCCUUCGGGUUGUAAAGCCCUUUUGUUGGGAAAGAAAAGCAGCAGGUUAAUACCCCGCUGUUCUGACGGUACCCAAAGAAUAAGCACCGGCUAACUUCGUG
rnacentral:rRNA from 1 species